UACGUAGGGGGCAAGCGUUGUCCGGAUUUAUUGGGCGUAAAGAGCGUGUAGGCGGUUUGGUAGGUCCGCUGUGAAAACUCGAGGCUCAACCUCGAGACGCCGGUGGAAACCAUCAGGCUAGAGUCCGGAAGAGGAGAGUGGAAUUCCUGGUGUAGCGGUGAAAUGCGCAGAUAUCAGGAAGAACACCGAUGGCGAAGGCAGUUCUCUGGGCCGUAACUGACGCUGAGGAGCGAAAGCGUGGGGAGCGAACAGG
rnacentral:rRNA from 1 species